rnacentral:rRNA from 1 species
GAUGAACGCUGGCGGCGUGCCUAAUACAUGCAAGUCGAGCGAACAGACGAGGAGCUUGCUCCUCUGACGUUAGCGGCGGACGGGUGAGUAACACGUGGAUAACCUACCUAUAAGACUGGGAUAACUUCGGGAAACCGGAGCUAAUACCGGAUAAUAUAUUGAACCGCAUGGUUCAAUAGUGAAAGACGGUUUUGCUGUCACUUAUAGAUGGAUCCGCGCCGCAUUAGCUAGUUGGUAAGGUAACGGCUUACCAAGGCAACGAUGCGUAGCCGACCUGAGAGGGUGAUCGCCCACACUGGAACGGACACCCGGUCCAGACUCCUACGGGAGGCAGCAGUGGGGAAUCUUCGGCAAGGGGCGAAAGCCGGACGGAGCACCGCCGCGUGGGUGAUGAAGGUCUUCGUAUCGUAAAACUGUUUUAUGAGGGAAAAAAAAAUGUUAAAGAAACUAUGCCCUUCUUGACGGUCCCUAAUCAAAAGACCACGACAAACUACGUG